rnacentral:sRNA from 1 species
AACCUACGGGGUGUACUUGGGAACGAGGGGUGAAGCGGCCCAGGUGAGGCUCGCCAUGGCCAAACAGCUGCAGGCCCGAAGGCUAGACGGGAUCGACUACAACCCCUGGGUGGAGUUUGUGAAACUGGCCAGUGAGCAUGACGUCGUGAACUUGGGCCAGGGCUUCCCGGAUUUCCCACCACCAGAAUUUGCCGUGGAAGCCUUUCAGCACGCUGUCAGUGGAGACUUCAUGCUCAACCAGUACACCAAGACAUUUGCUGGUCUCAGAGCUGGUUGGAAAGUUCCUUCUUUGAUCCAAAAAAAAAAAAUCAUUUGGGGUUACCCACCACUGACGAAGAUCCUGGCAAGUUUCUUUGGGAAGCUGCUGGGUCAGGAGAUAGACCCGCUCAGGAAUGUGCUGGUGACUGUUGGUGGCUAUGGGGCCCUGUUCACAGCCUUCCAGGCCCUGGUGGACGAAGGAGACGAGGUGAGUGGGCAAGACUUGGGCUGAGUGGGACUGAGAGGUCAGGGCCAUGCUGACUCCAGCUGAUUUGACCCUUAUAUCAGGUCAUCAUCAUCGAACCCUUUUUUGACUGCUACGAGCCCAUGACAAUGAUGGCAGGGGGUCAUCCUGUGUUUGUGCCCCUGAAGCCGGGUCCCAUCCAGAAUGGAGAACUGGGUUCCAGCAGCAACUGGCAGCUGGACCCCAUGGAGCUG